UGAGAUAUAUCUCUAUCUCAGAGAGAUAUUACCUUCUACCAAGUGCUCCAGACCUGCCAUUAUUAGAGGGUCAGUGGGUCACUCACCCCCUGUCCUGCCUUAGUGCUGCCCCUUUCUCAGGGGACUGACCCUGUUUGGGGGGUGUUCCAAUCCUCUAUAAUAAUACUGAUGUGAUGGUUUCACUGUCAGCUCAUUGGCAUCAGGGCAUCUUGUACGGAAGAAAUGCUUUUUGGGGUGACACUUUGUGUAGCAUGACAGGUAUUUAAAGCAUUUCUCGACGUUUUGCCCUUUAGACAGAAUAUUUGGGGAAUUCAAUAUGUUUAUUAUAAAACUAUGCAGUGCAACAGAAUUACUGAUUGGUUUCCUGUUGUCUGUUCUCAGGUGUCCCCAGACAGUCAAUCUUUUUCUCCUGCAGAGGUCCUAACGGUAUGCCCGACCUUGGCGGUGACAGACUCGGCUCCACAGGUAAGUCUGGCGGACUGUAAUAGGGAAUUGUAGGAUAGAGGAAACUGCUUGAAGUAAGAUGUCUAUGGAACAGUUUCCAUGGAUUUACAAAAGUUAUAAGGUGGGGGGACCUUGUACUACUUGAGAAGCCUCUGAAUUGCUGCCAACCUGCCACUCAUGGAUGGGGUUGGGUGGAGACACUAAGGUGCACAAGUGGGGGCUUGGGGGAUGGACACACACUGUUAAUUGUUAUAUGUACCCCACUAAGGUGCACUUUAUUAGAGGCAUGCUGCUUACUGUUUAGUAGACAUGCCCCUACUCGCAGCAUAGUGAUUAAAUUCCAAUACGAACAGAAACUACCGAAUGCCAUUCUAACACAAAUGAACAAAAACUGUUCAUUCUGUUAGGACGGAAUUCGGUAGCUUCGCCUGCGUCCUUUCUAUAUGACAGGACGCUGGGGAAUAGUGAAAGGAAGCAUCG